CGUGACUUUUAAAAGAAUGUUUACUCUCAGUGGUUUCUGAGAAAGGCACAGAGAAAAAAAUAUGUCUCUGAUUCACCAUGCUUAAUCAUAAAUCCAGCUCUCACUGAUUUUCCAGGGAGAUAUUAUAAGGCGCCCAGGUGCAGAGUUCCUGUCUGUCUUGUUCAUAUCUCUGUAUUUCCCUAGCAGAUAGUGGGUACUCAUAAGGGUUCAUCAAAUGAAUGGGAGAAAUAGAAUUAUUUUUACAACUCUCCAAUAGUGGCAUGAAAGAACAGCAAUCCAGUGACAAGUCAUAAGGGGGCGGUGUCUCCAUUCAGACUUAACCUUCAAGAUCAGCUCCAAACUCAGAGAAACCUCCAGUUAGAGAUCAGAUUGGCUGAUACACAGAACAGAUAUUUUAACAUCACGGUGGUAUUUAUAGUGUUACACGAAGCUCAGAGGAGUUUCUUGAAGCAAAAACCCUUUUAGGAAAUAAUUCUUUGCUGAACAACUUGUGAUAAGGAUGCUCCUCAAAGGUUCAUUAAUAUUCUUGUGGAUGCAGCUGACAUGGGUGAGUGGCCAGCAGGUGAAUCAGAGUCCUCAGUCUGUGUCUGUUCGGGAAGGAGAGGAUGUCUCCAUGAACUGCAAUUCCUCGAGUACAAUCAACACCUUACUAUGGUUCAAGCAGGAUCCUGGGGAAGCCCUUGUCCUACUGAUAGCCUCAUAUAAGGCUGGUGAAGUGACCAGAAGUGGAAAACUGACUGCUCAGUUGGGCGCAACGAGAAUGGACAGCUUCUUGAACAUCUCAGCCUCUGAUACUAAACAUGCAGGCACCUACUUCUGCAGUGCACAGCACUGUGCUCCCCGAGCACCUGCAACCUGCACAUAAACUUGCAGCUGGAACCCUAGUCACUAUGCUGCCUCGAGCUGCUGCUCCUCUUGGCAUGAAAUAUGAUCAUACACACAACCUAUGUGCCCUGUUCUCCCAUUACUGCAAACUCUCAUGGGGCAUUGGUGGUUCAGUGGUAGAAUUCUCACCUGCCAUUACUGCAAACUCUCAUGUAUUCAAGGCUUUAUCUUCUAAAGACUGUGCUCUUUGCUUAAUGAACACAACUCCUUUUUAAUAUGUAGAGAGAUUUAUUUACUUAUUUUGUCAGUACGUAAGGAGAAAUGAUCAGUACAAAAUCAGAGUAGAAGAUUUAACACAUCUCUCUUUAAAAAUGGAUAGAUAUCAGUGGAAGAGAAUUGAGAGUUCAGGAGUAAACCCAGACAUUCAUGGGCAAAUGAUUUUUAACAAGGGUGCUAAGACCAUCCAAUGGGGAAAUGGUGCUGGGACUACUGGAUAGCCACGUGCAAAAGAAUAUACACCUAUUCAAAUACUAACUCAAAUUGGGUACUGGGUGGCUCAGUCAGUUGAGCAUCCAGACUCUUGAUUUUGGU